UCUCACACUUGCUUCUAACUUCACUUCCACUUCCUCUCCGUUCUGAUGCUCCACCACUCUCGUUGCAUCUCUCUUACGCCACUCGCCGCCGCCACGACACCAUGUCAACACAACACGAUUCUCGCUCUAUAAACUGGCACUACACUGAGCUAGAUGACAAAGACCUUGAAAUCCGUGGCAAAACACUCUUCUUCGUCAUCGUUCUCUUCUCCAUUAUACUCCUCACCACUGUCUUCUUCCUCUACACGCGCUGGGUCUGCCGCUACAACCACCACCACCGCUCCUCCGCCGCCCACGCGCGCCACGCGCCGCAGUCAUCACUUCCUUCCCAGGGUCUUGACCAGGCGUCCAUAAAGAAACUUCCGAUCAUCCUCCAUCAGGCGCCAGCGGAGCCCCACGGCGGCGCGUGGGAGGAGACGGAGUGUUGCAUCUGCCUGGGCGAGUUCGUCGACGGCGAGAAGCUGAAGGUUCUUCCGGCGUGUGAACACUAUUUCCAUUGUGAAUGCGUUGAUAAGUGGCUAAUGCAACAUUCUAGUUGCCCACUUUGUAGGGCUUCACUCAAACUUGAAUCUUCGUUACCAAAGAUUUUGAUUCAAGAACCUCCCAUUAGAAUUGACAUCCAAUUUUAAUGGAGCGGAGCAUAGCGGCGGAAAAUUGGGAGCCUUUCAUCUUGCCGCUGCAAAACAAGGCUGCAGAAGAAGGAUCCCUUCGUGUGCCGCAACAUCAACUGCGAUUGCAUCAAAAAACGCCGUUAGAAACUCGUGAAGAGUCCUUAGUAGCGCGAAACACUACCGUCGCUGCUCUACCGUGCCACUGGUGUCGAUCCAUCGCCAUCAAUAUUUUGCCUCAUCCACAGUUCCUGAAACCCAUACUCCUUCAGUCAAGGUGUGCGAAAUUCCUAACUUCUGCUCUACCUUGCGCCUCUGUUUGGGUUGUCAAGUCGCACGGCUGCCUUCCGUGCUUCUCCCACCGGCGUUAAAAUUUUCCAUCUCCUUGAUCGUGCGUGAAACUGUUACACCAUCAUCCACCAUGCAAAGGCAAAGCUAUCACGACCUCUCCCCUAUCACUGGAAAGAAUUGAGGAGAUUGAGCAACAGGAUGAGUCUUCUAGAGUGUUGUCUCAAAAUGAUUCAAUUGCUCAGGUUUUCGAAAAAGAGAAACCGAGUAGAGUAUGUGGUGUGGGUUUCGGACCGAUUCCUAGUCAACUCUUUAGUCCGAAUUCACAUGCACCAGACAAUGGAGUCCAACUAUAAGAGACACAAAGGAAGCUGCUUGAACUAUAGGCAGAGCUGGCAGGCGAGAAGUUGAAGAGGAAGGCGAUAGAGGAUGAGGCAGCAGCAGAGAAGAAAAAGAAGCAUGUGAUGGAGAGUGCUCUAAUUUAUCUAUUUCAACGGUAGGGUGAGGAGCUGUCACCAGACAUCGCUGCAGGGAUGAGAUCCGUGGAAUGAUAGAGUGAAAAUUAGUAUAUUAGGAUUGGAGAUAUUUUGGAUUGAAGCAAACAUUUUUUUUGAAUUAGACUAUGCAACUCUUUGCACGAGAUUUGUUUUCUUCGUAUUUUUAUGAAUAUAUUAUUUUGU